rnacentral:rRNA from 1 species
GGCCUACGGGAGGCAGCAGUAGGGGAUCUCCCACAAUGGGCGAAAGCCUGAUGGAGCAACGCCGCGUGGGUGAAGAAGCGCCUCGGCGCGUAAAGCCCUGUCAGCAGGGAAGAAAAUGACGGUACCUGAAGAAGAAGCCCCGGCUAACUACGUGCCAGCAGCCGCGGUAAUACGUAGGGGGCAAGCGUUAUCCGGAUUUACUGGGUGUAAAGGGAGCGUAGACGGUAGAACAAGUCUGAAGUGAAAGCCCGCGGUUCAACUCCG